rnacentral:ncRNA from 1 species
AAAAAACUGCCACCGGGCAGAGAAAUGCGCAGGCAUUCGGCGCACAUCGUUAGGUCUUUGAAGAUGUGUGGGCGGAUGCUUAUUUUUU